UUUCAUCCAGAGGGUUUGCAGAUAGUGUGUGCCUGAUUCUAUGAUGUCUAGAUUUCGUUGGAUUGGACAUUCACUAUCUGCAAACACCUCUGAUGGAAUUC
rnacentral:pre_miRNA from 1 species